GCCAUGUACAAAAAUAAAGAUUAAAAAAAUAUAAAAAUAAAAUAAGUAUUUUACUAGAGUAUACAUGUAAAUAUUAAUUUUAGUAAAAAUAUUUAUGUAAAAUUCGAUAUUUAGGAAGAUAUUUAUGUAAAAAAUUAUAUUUUAAAAAAAAAGUUCAAGGGCUUUCACUGAAUCUUGGCAGCUCAAUCUGGUUCUCACCAGGUAAGUUACACUUCUGCGUGACUAUGAUGGACCGGGACAAAUCGCCGGUUCAUUGAUUACCUGGUUUGACAUAUCCGGUCCAGUUUUAUAAUCAAUAACCAUGCUUAUAAUCAUGCAAUGCACAUCUUUAUUUUUCGAAGGAAUGAACGACUGUGACUGCAUCAAAUGAUAAAUUUUGUAGUAUCUAUAGUUUAAAAUCAAAGCCAUUUAUACAUUCCUUCGAUCACAUCCAUCCACAUAAAGUACUCAAACAACUCCAAUCAUGUAGCAAGACCAUAAGUGUGUAGAUUGUGAUAAUGCACGUAACAUACUUAAGUAGGAUAAACUUAUGUCGACCAGUAAUUGCUCCUAUGGUGAAUAUUAGGCCAUGCAAAACUAGUGAGAUAAGCAAAGUUAUUGUAUCAGAACUAAAUCGGUGGUUUCUGGACUGGAAGAACGGUGAACCUGUAAUUGGAUUGGAUUGCAUCCAACUAGAUGGAGACCAAUUGGCCCAAUGGGCUUCAGCCCAGGCAGUUGGAACUGUAAUAUCCAGUUUCAGCCCAUGGCCGAAGAAGAGACCGAGACGGGAUCGCAACGCGAUCUCCUGGUCUUCUUCCUCCGGGUAACGGAGGCGAGACUGGACCGAGGAUGCCGCGGCCUCUUGAAUGGCCUCCGAUCCCGCUUAACCACCGCGAGCAUCACGGCGGUGAACGAGCCACGGCCAAUUCGAAGAUCGCCUAUUAAAAAAAAAAAGAAAAAGAAAGAACCCCGAAAGGCUCACCAGGCCGGGACCCCCUCCUAUCACGGUUUCUCUUUCCCCUUCUUCCUUCAGGGUUAGGUUUUCCUGAACCCACGUCGGUGUCGCCGGGGAUGCUACUCGCAGCUUCCCCGGAGCUAGGUAAGCCGCUGAUCAUGUUAUUUUUCCUGCUUUCCUCUUUCCUGUUUCUGAGAUGAAAUAGCGGAGGGACUCCACGGCUCUCGGGCGGGGGCUGCAGUCGAGCCAGAGUCCCAUCCCCUUCUUUCUCUUCGGUGGGGCAAAGGGCCUCGGUGAAGGGAAGAAGGGAGACGGAAAGAAAAGAAGAAAAAGAAGAAAAGAAGAAAGAAGGACCUCACAAAAUAGCUAGCCAGAAGGUAUUAUUUGGGUUCCUUGAUCCUGUAUAAGUAUCCAAGAUCUACCCAGUGAAUAACCAAUGUGGGACUAAACACACACCCGCACAGGUUCUCACAUACUCCCCCCGUUCAAGCCGUGACGUCUUCGUCAGACUAAGAGUUCAAAUUUAUUCAAAUCUAAUCACAAAACUACGAUCGGUCCGUGGUCAGCCCCAAUAGAUCUGUGCUGCAGUAUUUCCUAGUCCACAUAGGUUAUGUGCCGGGUCUGCUN
rnacentral:lncRNA from 1 species